UUAGAGUUUGNAUCCUGGCUCAGAUUGAACGCUGGCGGCAGGCCUAACACAUGCAAGUCGAGCGGUAGAGAGAAGCUUGCUUCUCUUGAGAGCGGCGGACGGGUGAGUAAUGCCUAGGAAUCUGCCUGGUAGUGGGGGAUAACGUUCGGAAACGGACGCUAAUACCGCAUACGUCCUACGGGAGAAAGCAGGGGACCUUCGGGCCUUGCGCUAUCAGAUGAGCCUAGGUCGGAUUAGCUAGUUGGUGAGGUAAUGGCUCACCAAGGCGACGAUCCGUAACUGGUCUGAGAGGAUGAUCAGUCACACUGGAACUGAGACACGGUCCAGACUCCUACGGGAGGCAGCAGUGGGGAAUAUUGGACAAUGGGCGAAAGCCUGAUCCAGCCAUGCCGCGUGUGUGAAGAAGGUCUUCGGAUUGUAAAGCACUUUAAGUUGGGAGGAAGGGCAGUUACCUAAUACGUGAUUGUUUUGACGUUACCGACAGAAUAAGCACCGGCUAACUCUGUGCCAGCAGCCGCGGUAAUACAGAGGGUGCAAGCGUUAAUCGGAAUUACUGGGCGUAAAGCGCGCGUAGGUGGUUAGUUAAGUUGGAUGUGAAAUCCCCGGGCUCAACCUGGGAACUGCAUUCAAAACUGACUGACUAGAGUAUGGUAGAGGGUGGUGGAAUUUCCUGUGUAGCGGUGAAAUGCGUAGAUAUAGGAAGGAACACCAGUGGCGAAGGCGACCCACCCUGGACUGAUACUGACACUGAGGUGCGAAAGCGUGGGAGCAA
rnacentral:rRNA from 1 species